CAGAAAAAGCACCGGCUAACUACGUGCCAGCAGCCGCGGUAAUACGUAGGGUGCAAGCGUUAUCCGGAAUUAUUGGGCGUAAAGAGCUCGUAGGCGGUUUGUCGCGUCUGCUGUGAAAACUGGAGGCUCAACCUCCAGCCUGCAGUGGGUACGGGCAAACUAGAGUGCGGUAGGGGAGAUUGGAAUUCCUGGUGUAGCGGUGGAAUGCGCAGAUAUCAGGAGGAACACCGAUGGCGAAGGCAGAUCUCUGGGCCGUAACUGACGCUGAGGAGCGAAAGCAUGGGGAGCGAACGGGAUUAGAUACCCUGGUAGUCCAUGCCGUAAACGUUGGGAACUAGAUGUGGGGGCCAUUCCACGGCUUCCGUGUCGCAGCUAACGCAUUAAGUUCCCCGCCUGGGGAGUACGGCCGCAAGGCUAAAACUCAAAGGAAUUGACGGGGGCCCGCACAAGCGGCGGAGCAUGCGGAUUAAUUCGAUGCAACGCGAAGAACCUUACCAAGGCUUGACAUUUACGAGAACGCUGCAGAAAUG
rnacentral:rRNA from 1 species